UACGUAGGGCGCAAGCGUUGUCCGGAAUUAUUGGGCGUAAAGAGCUCGUAGGCGGCUUGUCACGUCGGGUGUGAAAGCCCGGGGCUUAACCCCGGGUCUGCAUUCGAUACGGGCUAGCUAGAGUGUGGUAGGGGAGAUCGGAAUUCCUGGUGUAGCGGUGAAAUGCGCAGAUAUCAGGAGGAACACCGGUGGCGAAGGCGGAUCUCUGGGCCAUUACUGACACUGAGAAGCGAAAGCAGGGGGAGCGAACAGG
rnacentral:rRNA from 1 species